CCAGCCAGAGGGGGACUGAGAACGGCCCCCACUCCUACGGGAGGCAGCAGUUAGGAAUCUUCCACAAUGGGCGCAAGCCUGAUGGAACGACGCCGCGUGAGGGACGAAGGCUCUAGAGUUGUAAACCUCUAAAAGGGGGACGAUAAUGACGGUACCCCUUGAAAAGCACCGGCUAACUCAGUGCCAGCAGCCGCGGUAACACUGAGGGUGCAAGCGUUAUCCGGAAUCCCUGGGCGUAAAGGGCGUGUAGGCGGUCUGUUAAGUCCGAUGUUAAAGACUGGGGCUCAACCCCAGCACGGCGUUGGAUACUGGCGAACUAGACGGCUGGAGAGGCAAGUAGAAUUACCAGUGUAGCGGUGAAAUGCGUAGAUACUGGUAGGAAUACUCAUUGCGAAGGCAGCUUGCUGGACAGCACGUGACGCUAAGGCGCGAAAGUGUGGGGAGCAAACCGGAUUAGAUACCCUGGUAGUC
rnacentral:rRNA from 1 species